rnacentral:rRNA from 1 species
UCGUAAGACGCGAGGAAGGAGGGGAUGAUGUCAAGUCAUCAUGGCCUUNAUGCCCAGGGUACACACGUGNACAAUGGAGGGACAAAGAGCUGCCACUUGGNGACAAGGCGCUAAUCUCAAAAACCCNUUCUCAGUUCAGAUCGCAGUCUGCAACUCGACUGCGUGAAGCUGGAAUCGCUAGUAAUCGUAUAUCAGCAAUGAUACGGUGAAUACGUUCCCGGACCUUGCACACACCGCCCGUCAAGCCAUGGAAGCUGGGUG